CUGCCGAGCGAGGGAAGGACGAGAGGCGGGAGCGAGCGGCGGGUGGAGCGUUGUCCUUAAAUAGAGGGGAGGGGAGAAAGGGAUUCGGGAGCGCGAAGGGACGCGGUCGCUCCGUGCCGGAGAGUGGCAGAAAGGUCCCUGCUGCUUGCCCUGUCCUCGGUGGGCAGAGAGCUCUGACCUCCGCCGGAUGGGCUGCCGAUUUCGAAGCACUCUGCAGAGAUCUGCCUGGGAGGAAAAGCAGAGCCAAGCACUGAGAACUGACAUGUGAGCUCCGCCUUGACCCCUCUGGCUCAAAGACAGCACCUGGAUACAUAGGGAGGGAGGGAGAGAAAUCCUCUCUUGACAUGUGCCAAUUAAUCUGUGAAACUGAUCCCGGCAGGACAGCGUGAAGACUGAAAGUGUAAGAAGAUGUGGGGUGCAAUGGAGAAUGUGGCAGGAGCACCCAACACACAAGUGCACGAGUUUUGCUUUUUGCUUGGAUUGAAACUCAGAAGUUGUAAGGAGUUUGGGAAUGAGAUGGGAUUUUUCAGAAGAA